AUGGAGCCCAGGAUACAAUUUGCUUUCCAAGCUGAAUUUAUUUUGAUGCUGCUGGUAUUUUUUUAUUCCAACUUCUUUUAGGACCAGGAUUUCAACACUCUUCUUCAAGAACUCUUGCUUGCUAUUUGGAAAAGGUCCAUGGAAUUGGCCUGGAGUUGUUCCAGAGUAUGGAUCCAGCUCCUGCAAAAAUGCUGCAUCUUGCAUUCUCAAGCUCCUGAAAGUGUCGGCGGUCACUGGCAUCCAGCUAUGCUGAAAGGACAGGCAAGCUGACAGGGCUGAUUCUCUCUACGUGUACUCUGCAAUUCUGAAAAUCUUGCCUCAGCGUGACCUCUGUAAUUUAUUAUGUAUAUUGCUUUCUUGCAACAGUGCAGUUUCUACUCUGUGUUAUGCCUUCUACUCCAUAAUGUCUGCAGUCCAACUGUGUGCUUUAAUGCUCACAGUGCUGCUGGCAUCCAUGCCUUCCUCCACGCUUCAUGCUCUCACAAAUGUUCAGCAAACUAUUAGGAAAGCUGUGGUUUGGAGUCAUUGUUUACAGGGCAUAGCUUCAGGUUUAAAGGAGGUGUUUUGGCUGAAUUUCAGAUCGCUUAGAAAUCAACCCUUCUGAGGUACAAAACUGGAAAGGCACGGAGUUGUGCACAUGCUUUUAGGGUGUAGCAGGCUCAUUGCUAAGGCUAACAAGGCAUACGUAGAAACAGCAACAAAAGAAACCAGCAACUGUAAUCUGGAAAGUGUAGAGGGCUGAUGAAUAAAAAUUUUGGAGUCAGAAAAUACUGAAAUGGAGCUAUUUCAGUAGAAGGGGUGGAAAGGCUGAGGGGAAUGGUUAAGAGUGACAGUGACGACGUGAGGAGGCAGUGCAGAGGAAAUCCAGAGGCAGUGAGUCUACCUGAAUGUGACAGGAAAUGCUGUUUCAGUGUUUUGUAAAUGGUUUGACAACACAUCAGGAUCCAGACAUUUCUUAUGGCCCAUUUCAAGGAUCACUAUAGAUUUAUUUGCUUCUAAGGAUUAUAGUAUCUUCCCCAGUUUUUAAGGAAAGGGGAAUGUCAGUCCAGGAAUUUAGCAUCUGUUUGAGUCAGAAUAUAUAAGAAAGAAUAGGAAACACAAAACACCAACUCUUUGGCUUCCCAAAUGUAGCUAGCCGUGAUGUAUGCCUGUCAAGUUCAUCUCUGGUUUACCUCUGGGCAACUCCAGAGCAGCUGCACAUCUAGAAGCAGACCUCUCACUGAUGGUGCAUUGCCUUCUCUAACAGAGGUGGUUUAUUAAUACAGCCUAAGGUUACUGAUGCCCUUUUGAAUAUCCUGGUUUUGCCUGACCUAGUAGAGUACUGCUCAUUUAACUGCAGCAUAAUAAUUUCAAAACCAUUCUCAAAGAGUUUGGCAAAGAUUUAUUUAAUAUUGUUUUUUCUGUGAAAGACAUUCAGAGUAAUACUGCAGCCUGACUAUAACGAAAAUUCAAUAUAAUUUGUGUCACCAUAGCAACACAUGAAAGAAUUUAAUGGACAGUAGUUAACUUGCAUUUGUAACACCUCAGAGAGAAAGAUAAACAUGUUUUUAAGAAGCUGUGAUAUAGAAAGAUUGUGGUCAAAGUGACACUUGUUAGUGGUGUAAUGAAAUAGAGUAGCCCAGGUAUGUGGUUCUCAUUACUCAUUCAUGCUGCCAACAUGAUCAUGGAGCCAGCAGGGGUAUGCCAAGUGGCCAGAUUACAUUUGGGAGAAGCAUGACCACUAGAGUAUUGCAAAAUUGAUACCCCUUUCUACUACUCCAAAUGUACUUGUUUACACCCUUAACAUUUCUUCUGCCCACACAUGAUGUGAUGGCCCCACAGCUUUUAUUUUUGCUUCUCUUAUAUUCAGUUCAUAUGAAAUUGUUUCCAGUCUCUCGGAUUGUAAGUACUGAGAUCCUUCCUUUCAGUCGUAAUGGCUGUUAUUCCAUGCUCAGUUCAUUCCUGCUUCAGAUACAUCACUUUCUUCUACCUAAACAUUGUUCUUGAGCCUAUCCAAAAUGUUCCUGCUGAGAUUACCCAUUACUUUGUGUUCCUCCCACAGCACCUGCUUUUCUUCUAGCCCCUCACUGUCCUCACAUCUGGUUCAGAGCUCUUGUCACUGAAGACAAGACCAGCUUCCUCAAGUACAUGGUUGAAGAUUAGGGACAUCAUGGCGCAGUGGUGUGGCAGUGAUGGGUGGAUGAGUGGACCAGAUGAUCUUAGUGUUUAUUUCCAACCUUAAUGAUUCUAUGAUUCUAUGACUCUAUGCAUCAGGCAAAAGUUUUUUUAUUUCCCUUUACUUUACUCUUUCUGCAAAUGGUGCCAGCUUUAACAUUUCUUUCAUUGCGCUCACAUUUCUCCAUUUGUACUUCUCCACGUAAAAACCAUAUCCAGCAUCCUUCCUCAUGAGUGCUAUUCUGAGCCCUGUGGCUUGUGCCACCUCCUCAUGCAGCUCCAGUUAACCAGUAGUCAAUGACCCUGCUAUUCAAUUCCCCCAAAGGAAGCUAAUUUUGUUGAGGAAUAAAGCAGCUGCCCAGAAGCUAACGUAAUUAUGACAUGAGAAAAGCAGGUGGAAAGGGAGAAAAGUCAGUCAGUGCUGUAUCACAGCAGAGGAGUGAUCAGAAAUAAUUUUACUGUUCAUUCAGGAGUAGGUAAUUUAGGUAGCAGCUCCCAUGACAUAUAAUCUAAGUAGAGGGCUGGAAAACAAGUAUGAUAGUUGUGAAUUCCAUUGUGUGUUAUAGCACCUUUGUCUCCUUGCCCUGACUUGAGACUUAACACACUGCAAAAGCAAUUUUGUCAUUAAUGCUAGAAGCAAAUGUCUGCAAAACCGGGAUUGCUACCUGCAAGACAAAUGCAUGUAACAAAUGCCUUUUGGAGUGUGAGAUAGAAAGGAAACAAGCUGCCCUACAUUUUGUUCACACUUUCCAGUGGACUUGUUAAACACUGACACCUCUGUAAAGUGAGAGGUAUGCUGUCCCCUGUAUCUGCAGCCCAUUGCCCAUCAGCAAGCAUUCCUAAUGCACCCCUGCUGCUGAUUUCUGAAGACUUUUUUUUACACGUUCUUUCUUGGCAGGGCAGUCUUAUAGUAACUCACUCAGAUGCUCCAAGGGGAACACAAGCUUUGCACAUGGUAAUAAGUGCACCGAUAUACUUCCAAAAAAUUUACGGAGGCUGUCUUUCAUACAAGAAAAACAAGUGGCCUGGCCCCAGCUAGUGACAUCCCUUCCCUGUAAUUUCAUGUUGAAAGCUAGAGCCUUACUGCCAAGUGCUCUUCUCAUCAUCAUUCCAGACUGGCAGUGUUCAUGAGACUUGGCAGGAGAUAGCAUUUGAUAAGAAUCCUUCUCUGGGAGCUUCAGAGAGGGCACUGUCAUUCAUUUCACUCCCCUGCCAGUUCACAAGUAUGAAGCCAGCAGGGUGAGUGCAGGAGGAACUGCAUUCCUUUCAGGCUCAUGUAACUCGGAAGCAGCUCCUAUCAUUUUCUUCAGGCACCUCUGAGCCAACAGCAAGCAUAACACACUUCAGCCCCAAAGGAACGUUUUUAAGAAAAGUUAUAAGCAGACGAAAAUACAGGGUAUGAAUUGAACAGCCACUUCAACCUGCUGCCAAGCUAUAAUUAGUACUUAAGCUCACAGUCUUGCACACAUAUACGUGCAGCAGAGCUUAAUAGAUUCCCUCAUUAAUGUUGAGACUCAUGUGCUCGUGCUUUAUGUCUGGGAAAGCUUUACACCCACAUGAAUUUUGAUGUGGAGUUGAAACAAAAAUGUUGAUGCUGGCAAUGCCAACUAUACAGAGUAAAUAGCUGGGUCCAGUCCUGCCAAUGCUGACUUGAAUGGGGCUUCUCACCCAAAGGAAAACCUACGUGUGAAAGUAUUCUCAGGUCCAAGCCUGUGCAGCAAAAGUAAAUCAUGGUUCUCUGCCUCAGAUGAAUAAAGCCAUUUAUGCCAAUGAGUUGAUUUCAAGCCUUGUAUAGGUAGGUUCCACUGCCUGGUCUUGAUGUGAGAUCGGAAUCUUGCUCACUGUAGUGAGUGAGGCUAUCAGUGUUUGGCUCUGUGCUUCAGAGGUCAGUGACUGCAUUUACAUGUGGAUAGGCAUCAUGCUGAUUAAAUCAAACUGCUGUACUGAGGAGGACAUUAACUAAAUGCCUCCCGAUGUCCUGAUGGUGUAUAAGCUAUUCUGAAUCAUAAAAUCAAUAGAGGAUUUGUCCUAAGUCAUUCCAGCACAUAUUCUACAUAAAUGAAAGUGCUUUUCAUUCAGAGAAGUGAAGGAAAUGCAAAAAAGAAAUAUCUUGGUAUUUAAACUGCUUUCUUUUUCAUGAUCUGAGAAACAAAGAAUUAGAAUUAAUACAGGAGUGACUGUUCUUUCCUUCUGUGUCAUAUUAUGUUUCCUAGUUUUAUUUCUCAAGUCCCAAAAAGCAAUGCUUUCUGAGCAGCAGCAGUGCAGGUCUGUCUUGAUAACGUGCUUCAGGCAUGACCCCUGUCUAGAAGUAAUCGGAUUAUAUGUUCUGCUUGUUUCCUUCACUGAAGCCAGGGACAGAUGCAGGGCAGAUGUGAAUGAAUAACAGAAACAUAGAAUCAUAGAACCAUUUAGGUUGGGAAAGACCUUCAAGCUCACCAAGACCAACCAUCCAUCAGACCUACUGAGAAAUCAUCACCGUAUCCCUUAGUGCUGUGUCCUCUUGUCUCUUAAAUACCUCCAGGAAUGGAGACUCCACCACUGCCCUGGGCAGCCCCUUACAAUGCCUGACCACCCUCUCCAUGAAGAAAUUCUUCCUGAAGUCCAGUUUGAACCUAUCCUGGUAUAACUUGAGGUCAUUCCUCAUAUCCUAUCCCUUGUCAUCUGAGAGGAAAGACCUUCAGUGCAACCUCCCUUCAGGAAGUUGUAGAGCAACGAGGUGUCCCCUCAGCCUCCUCUUCUCCAGACUGAACAGCCCAAGUUCCCUAAGCCACUCCUUGUGGCUCUUGUUUUCUGGUUCCUUCACCAGCUUCACUGCCCUUCUCUACACAUACUUGAGAAACUCCAUGUCCUCUUCGUAGUGAGGGGCCCAAAUCUGAACACAACACUCAAGCUGCAGUCUCACCAGUCUACGUAUAUGGGGACAGUCACUUUUCUAGUCCUGCUGGACACACUUUACUUGUUGUAGGCCAGGAUGCCAUCAGCCUGGUGGAAACGCAGCACUUCCUUCACAAUCCUGUGAAGGCACACACCUGUCUGCCAACUCAUAGGCCUCAGGAGGAUGCUACAAUGGAGAAAGAAAAUCAAGGGAACACAUACUCGUGGCUCUGCUUCAUGUUGUGCAUAUUCUCACAGCUUGCAGAAGGGUUUGAGAUACCAGAAAAUAGAGAAGGUGGUGUUCUGGAAACAAGUGAGUUGCCAGCUCUACGGCACAGAAAUGGGAGAGGGGCUCCAGUAAGGCUGAAAUUCCCUUGGUAAUCAACUGGUAAAUCAAUAUCAGUUUAAGGCCAGGAGAGAAUAUGGCAACAAACUUAUGUGACUACAGAUCAGAAGAUGCCUACUGUGUUGGAAAUUGUGUGAUAUGAACGUCUGCACUGGCAAUGGGCUGCAGGCCAGCAAAGUCAGUUCCCGUGGAUCACAAAAUCUUGGGAAUCUUUGUUGUUUAUUUUUACCUGAAAGCAGGAGCAAAGAGUGGCAGAGGAUCUGUAACUCAUUAUAGAUGAAUCCAUCUACCCAGUUUUUCUUUGUACCACUUUUUCUGUGUUUUUCUGGUAAUCAAUUCAGUCCUCCCUUGUCUUUUCAUACAGUGUCCCUUUUCAUUGGAAAGCCAGACAUAUUGGCAGUGCUUGCUACUGUAGGAAUAAAGAAGGAAUAAAUGAUCCAAAGGAAAGGAUUAUAGUCUCUGAGAUUGCCCUGGGAUACACACAAGUUGAACACUAACCCUGCAUGUGUCGGUGUUCAUUCUUAACAUUCUCCAAGAGCCUGUUCACUGUUAAAGACUUCAGGCAUUGCAACAGCAGCUGAGACCUGGGAAGAGCUACAAAAGCAAUGCUGAUGAGCACUUCGUGCACCUGUGGUUUUCAGCCCUUGCAAUCCAAAAGAACAGCGAAAGAUAAAGAGCAAAAAUGAUUAUCAGAUGCAUCGAACUGAUUCACAUUACAUAACCCAGUUGGAGGAAAUGGGAAAAAAUAAGUGGUUUUAUGCAACAUUUUGUUGACCUGAAAGAUCAGAUGCCUGAAAGAACAUUUAACUAAGAACAGCUGUAAAGAAAACAGAGCAAUGUAGGCAGGUAAAACCACAAAUCAAAGACUUUGCAGAUCCUUAUUUCAUCGCACUCAGUUAAGUUUUCAGAUGCAGAUUCUGUUCCUAUUGAAUCUAUGGCAAAAUGCCUGCUGACUUCAAACAGAAUAGGUUUUGUCCCUGUAAGCUAAGAGUAUGGCCAGCAAUACCAAUGCAGUGUAAAAAUAAACUGUGUAGGUGAGAAGUAAGGAGUUGGUACUGCAAUGUUAGUGCCUGCCGGAUCUUGAUUCUAUUAUUUUCCAAUUAAGAAAACCAUUUCAAACUUGGAGCAUUGUGCCACUCAUAUUUUAAGGUCUGAAUAUUUCAAAUCCUGAUGGUUGUAGUGCUCAAUGCUAAUAAACUUUAUUUAGUAAGUAUUACUUAAAAAUGAUUAAAUAAAGUGGAAAUAUCAGGAAAAAAAAAAUCAUAACACAUCUUUCUUGUACUGCGUUUUGUCCAGAAAAGGGUUUUAAGCUUUGGUGUUGCUAUUCAUUUACCUUCUCCUCUGUUGCACUGCAUUGUUUACAGCAAUUUAUGCAAAUCUAUAUUCUUAAACCUUAUUCUGAAACUGGAUGUGACUGUUUGGCAUCUCUUAGCAUUAUGGUAAGAAUCCAAGUGUGAGUGUGUGUAGUGAUAUGAAAGUGAAUCGACAGAAAACAAACCACAAAACUUUUUGCACAGUUUACCAGUUUUGCAUUAAAACAAGUACAGUUGCCAGCAAUGUAUCUGUAGUAUUUUGAAAUUAGUUAAAAAUAGGACUGCUGUAUUCUUUAAUUAGCAUAGCUGAAAGUUAGCCAAAUCGGCUUCGGAUGCAGCAGGAGACGUACAGUUUGUCCUGAUUUCAUGGGGAAAGGAAAAAUGUAAUACUUGGCAGAUGAACUAACUAUGCUAACCCCAAAUGUUAUUAGAACAUAGUUGACUAAAUCAAAUAUGUUGGUUUACCAAAGAUUAGUCCACAUAUUUUAACAGAACAGAGGAGCACAGUUUCAAAGCUGUGGGCUACUGAAAGAAGCAAGAUCAAGAGAAAGUGGUUAUUUUCAUAAUAUGAAAAUCUGGAGGAAAAUGACUUAUAUAUUGAGAUCAGUAAGCAACUUUUGCCAAAUCCUGGCCUUCUUACUGACACAGACUAACAUCAGCUGCUGUGAAUAGCUCUGUUGCUGUGGGAAUCCCAUCUACUAUUGCAGAAUGCAAUCACGAAGUAUUUCAACUCGAAUGAACAAUUUCAAAUGUUUAGACUUUAAAAACCACCGCUUUUAAUUUCUGUGUACCCAGUUGCAUCAGAUGGGUUUCCAUGAGGUUAGAUGUAUAAUAUUAACACAGGAUAAACUAUUUAUUAAACAGGAACAAAUAUCAACUGAGUAAACACUUAUUCGUGCUUAUAAUGUCUAGCCUAGAUGUAGUCCCUGCCUUUGCAUGAUGGAACUGCAGUGUCUUACUAAACAACUGCUUUCUUGUGCAAAUUGAAGGGCAAAAUUCCGAGGGAUGCAAAGCUUUUGCAACUUGUGUAAUUCUCAAACUGACAUCUAAAAAUGGAGAUACACCCAAGAGUCAUGAAAAAUUUAUGAAGGAUUCUCCUGCGUCCAAUAAGAGCAUCCUUGAAAAUAAAUAAGUCCAGUAAGAAAAUCCAGGCUUCAAAGCAGUCCUGGUAUAAAAAGGUAAAAUUGAUUAUCCCUGAAGCGUUAGGGUCUGAAUACAGAGAAAUUCACCUUUAGAAGGGAGCACUGUUACCCUCCCUGUGGUUCACAGCUUUAACUUGCAAUUUGAAUUCCUGUCAUAAAGGUUAUGCAAGAAAUUAGUGCAUGUGGCAGAUACUCUCGUCAUUCACUUCUCUAUACACAGCUCAACUCAGUUUGGAAGGAACGUGAGCCUCUAUAGCAGAGGUCAGUGCUCAGACAGCCAGCUUAGGAGUUUACUGAUCUUUUCUGCCUUUGAAAAUGCUUACUACUUUUUCUU